UACGUAGGGUGCGAGCGUUGUCCGGAAUUACUGGGCGUAAAGAGCUCGUAGGUGGUUUGUCGCGUUGUUCGUGAAAACUCACAGCUCAACUGUGGGCGUGCGGGCGAUACGGGCAGACUGGAGUACUGCAGGGGAGACUGGAAUUCCUGGUGUAGCGGUGAAAUGCGCAGAUAUCAGGAAGAACACCCGUGGCGAAGGCGGCUCUCUGGGACGGUACUGACGCUGAGACGCGAAAGCGUGGGGAGCGAACAGG
rnacentral:rRNA from 1 species